AUAAAUGCAUACAUUCACGUAUCGAAAAGUCUAAAUCCGGAGACAACAUGCUGAGGUCUAUGUGCCUGCAGUUUAAACAAGACAGACAGACAGGAGAAGAUUUUGUUGUUGAGUGCUGUUGCUAAGCGACUAUACUCGCUCUCAGUAAACUAAUGGAGAGAAGCAAGCCAGGACAUUUUGACUAAGUAAAUCAUAAAAAAAAAAAAUCGGAAUUAGCUAAAAUUAGUUGUGGCAAAUGUCAGCGCAGGGAGAAGCAGCGAACAUCGGAAAAGUGCUAAGUUUUCUUCGGGAAUGGGACCGUGGGGACAGAGCAGCCCGCGGACGCAUGUUGAAUACGUUCCUGUGUCAGAAUCAAGGGAAAAGUUUUUAUGAGCUCGAGUGCGAGUUCGCGCAGGUGUCCAGUCUCUUUCUGGCUCGACUCACCACCUGGAUGAGACUCACAUACAUGUUUGGGACAUUACUGGGACUUCAGCUGAGAGCUAUUCGGGUUUUCCUGUCUGCGUCAGGCCAUGAUCAAUAUGUGAUGGAGUUCCUGGAGGACGGAGGUGUCCUCAGUCUCCUGGAUAUCUUGAACCACACACAGAGUAAAGAGGAGGACAAGACAGAAGCACUCCGUCUUCUGCUCACUGUCUCCAAUGCCGGCCGCAACUACAAAGAGAUUAUCUGUGAAAGCAAUGGUGUCAAAGUGACAGCAGAGUGUUUGGCCAAGUCGAACACAGAGGAAACCCAAGAGACAGCUUCAGCCCUGCUGGAGUCCCUGUCCCACGGAAACCCUAAAUACCAAAACCAAAUCUACAAAAGUCUCAUCACUCUCAUGACCUGUAGCUCUCCUAAAGCCCAGCAUCUGGUCCUACAUACUGUCCGCAUUGUUCAGUCCAAAAUGAAGACAGCUCAUCACAGCAUUGUAGAGCCUCUGCUGAACAUGCUCACAUCAAUACACCUGGACAUCCAGGAUGAAGCUAUUAAUCUCAUCUUAGACCUGAAGUGUUUUGAUGUGAGACCAAUAAUCCUCAGUGGCCUGGUGGCUCUGCUCCGACAGGCUAGAGAAGAAGUAAAGUCACAGGAGAUCACAGAAGUGUCAUCAGAGACUGAGAUGACUGCAUCCCUGCCUGUGUUUGUCCAACAAGCUGCUGCAGCUAAGGCUAUAAGGUUGCUGGCUGAAGGAAAUCAGGAGAUUUCUCGUGAUCUUCUUUCUCUUGGAGUGAUUCAGUGUCUCCUGUCUGCUCUGGGCAACAGAGAACACACUGAUGCCCAAGUGCAAGCCAGCCUGGCCUUGGAGUACUUUGUCCGCUCAUUCCCAGUCAUAGAGGAGCAUGUGCAGAGAGUCAUGGGCAGCACACUGUUUGCAGCCUUUAUGCACAAACCUGAUACCUUGUACAUGAAUUUGGAUGAAACGCAGGCAGAAAUCCUGCUGAAUAACAAGGCUGAUAUAUUAUCUAAAGGCUGUGAUUUCCAGUUUUGAAUGCUGAUGUGGAAGGAUGACUAGAAGAACAAUCAUUUUACUGGUGCAGAUGAGUAAAAUGUUAUGUUAAGACUUUUUGAUGGUGACUGAAGGCUCAACAUAACAGCUGAAUAAUUUUAUUGACGCACAUGAAUGAAACAUUUUCUACAUUUGCAUGUGAAUAAAUUACUUUUUUCUGAA